UGGGGAAUCUUGGACAAUGGGGGCAACCCUGAUCCAGCCAUGCCGCGUGAGUGAUGAAGGCCUUAGGGUCGUAAAGCUCUUUCGCCUGUGAAGAUAAUGACGGUAGCAGGUAAAGAAACCCCGGCUAACUCCGUGCCAGCAGCCGCGGUAAUACGGAGGGGGUUAGCGUUGUUCGGAAUUACUGGGCGUAAAGCGCACGUAGGCGGACCAGAAAGUUGGGGGUGAAAUCCCGGGGGCUCAACCCCGGAACUGCCUCCAAAACUAUUGGUCUAGAGUUCGAGAGAGGUGAGUGGAAUUCCAAGUGUAGAGGUGAAAUUCGUAGAUAUUUGGAGGAACACCAGUGGCGAAGGCGGCUCACUGGCUCGAUACUGACGCUGAGGUGCGAAAGUGUGGGGAGCAAAACAGGAUUAGAUACCCUGGUAGUCCACACCGUAAAACGAUGAAUGCCAGUCGUCGGGUAGCAUGCUAUUCGGUGACACACCUAACGGAUUAAGCAUUCCGCCUGGGGAGUACGGUCGC
rnacentral:rRNA from 1 species